CCAGCUCUUAUCAGUCAUGUCUCUCCAUCUCCCUCACUAGACUGUGAGUUCCGUGGGACAUGCCCUAUAUUAAGUUAUCAUAAAGUGCUGAAUGUUGUCGAAGCCCCUGACAAUCCCAGAUGGAAUAGGGGAAGCUGGCCACUCACGUGUGCGGGGUGCUGGCAAAUUCCAGAUUCCUUGGGAAGAAUGACAAUGCUACAGAAAAGCACAUGGAUUUGCAGCUUCGUGGACGUCCCCUAUGAGUGUGACACGUCUUUACUCCCAAUGGAGGAAAGUGAAGCCAGGCUUACUGAGAAAAAAAACAACCUCAGAAAUCAAAAUCAGACAGUUAUGCUUGAUCUGGCUGCCCCGGAGCGGGAAGACCCGAUCAUUGGCAGUGCUGGCCACUGUGCUGACCAGCCUGAUGUCACGAAGAGAAGUGAUUUUCCAAUCCUGCAUCCGGUACAGCUGUGUGGACUCUGCUCGUCCUGCCAUUCCACCAAGAAAUUAAAAAGCAAUAUUCCUUUGAAGUUCUGGGGUUUUUUUUGUUUUUUGUUUCUUUCAUUUAAGAUUACACUUUGAGGUCAGAAAAUGAGACAUAAGGAAUUCACAAACAUGCACACAUUUGAUUUGGAAAUAUUCCACCCUCCGCAUCCCCAUUUUAAACUGUCCUGAGGCCCAGAUGGUUUACAGAUUGAGCUGGCUUAGGCCGGCAAGCAUUUCGGGGAGCUGGUUGACCACGUUUUUUGAAACAGAGGUAUUUUAUCCAUUAAGCUGAUCAACACUGGGGAGAAUGGGGCACCCUAAUGGUCUUUAAGUAAUAUCUUGUGAAGCUAUUUUAAAAAUAGCAGCAGAACAAAAUACACCCGGGAAUCAAGCAUGUAAAUCAAUAAAAGUUUGU
rnacentral:lncRNA from 13 species